CUGCAAUACCAACACCAGUUGGAUGACAUCAUGUUCUCUCAGCAGGUCAUUUAGCAGUCAGCACCCUUGAAGUACAACCACAGCUGUCUUUGAGAACCUGUGCAGAGGAGACUCAGAAAAUCAUGUUUUCAAUAGGUCCCACAAAAUGGUGCAGUGAGGAAAAGUCUUUUUACCAAGUCUGAUGAUCUAAGUUUGAAUUCCAGGAUACACAUGGUUGAUAACAGUCAUCAGUUGUCCUAUGACAUUCACAUGAACACUAUGGUAUUAAUAUCACAAUCAUUAAUUAUUCUUUAGCUUUGCUUAAAAUGCUGCAUUAAAUGAAUAUCCUAAUAUAUCUUUUGAAAUUUACGGC